AGCAGUCGCCGCGGGAAUACGUAGGGUGCGAGCGUUAAUCGGAAUUACUGGGCGUAAAGCGUGCGCAGGCGGUUAUAUAAGACAGAUGUGAAAUCCCCGGGCUCAACCUGGGACCUGCAUUUGUGACUGUAUAGCUAGAGUACGGUAGAGGGGGAUGGAAUUCCGCGUGUAGCAGUGAAAUGCGUAGAGAUGUGGAGGAAUACCGAUGGCGAAGGCAGCCCCCUGGGCCAAUACUGACGCUCAUGCACGAAAGCGUGGGGAGCAAACAGGAUUAGAUACCCCAGUAGUCCCUGUCUCUUAUAC
rnacentral:rRNA from 1 species